rnacentral:rRNA from 1 species
GACGAACGCUGGCGGCGUGCCUAAUACAUGCAAGUCGAGCGGACUUUCAAGAAGCUUGCUUUUUGAAAGUUAGCGGCGGACGGGUGAGUAACACGUGGGCAACCUGCCUGCAAGACGGGGAUAACUCCGGGAAACCGGGGCUAAUACCGGAUAAUAUCUUCCUUCGCAUGAAGGAAGGUUGAAAGGCGGCGCAAGCUGCCGCUUGCAGAUGGGCCCGCGGCGCAUUAGCUAGUUGGUGAGGUAACGGCUCACCAAGGCGACGAUGCGUAGCCGACCUGAGAGGGUGAUCGGCCACACUGGGACUGAGACACGGCCCAGACUCCUACGGGAGGCAGCAGUAGGGAAUCUUCCGCAAUGGACGAAAGUCUGACGGAGCAACGCCGCGUGAGCGAAGAAGGUCUUCGGAUCGUAAAGCUCUGUUGUCAGGGAAGAACAAGUACCGUUCGAACAGGACGGUACCUUGACGGUACCUGACCAGAAAGCCACGGCUAACUACGUG